rnacentral:lncRNA from 10 species
AGGAGGGUCACAUGAUGUAGUCGGGUAUCAGUGAGAUUCUUACCUUAGGACGGGAGAGCCUGCCUGAGAAUAAAACCAACCCAGAGGGCCAGGCGUGGUGUCUCAUGCUUGUAAUCUCAGCACUUUGGGAGGCCAAGGUGGGCAGAUCACCUGAGGUCAGGAGUUCGAGACCCUGUCUCUACCAAAAAAUACAAGGGAGGCUGAGGCAGGAGAAUUGCUUGAACCCGGAAGGCAGAGGUUGCAGUGAGCCAAGACUAUGCCAAUGCACUCUAGCCUGGGCAACAAAAGCGAGACUCCAUCUAAAAAAACCCAAAACAACAACAACAACAACACCCAGAGGAAUGGAGAGAAUGAGUCCUGGUGGUGCCAUUGUGAGCCCCUGGAUCCAGCUGUGCCUGAAACUCACCCAACCCCUGGACUUUUCAGUAACAUGAGCCGAUAAACUCUCUCCGUCGCUUCAGCCACUUUGAAUUGGGAAUUUUGUCACUUGAAGCCAGGAGCCCUGACUGACAAAUAGGCCUUUUCUCUCCCCUUAUUUCAUAAAACACCACGCGUGGAACAAGCAAAAUUAAUGCCCCUGCUUCCUAAACAGCCGAUGAGCAAUGGCUAAUGGUAGAGGCUGGGCAAUGACUCCUUUCUCUUUGGUGCAUGAGGACAUCCAUUCUCUGGCCGGCCCCUGACCUCGCCUCACUGAGCUGGAGCAGAAAUCACUUAACCUUCCAGGCCUCGGCGUUUAGAGCCUGUCAGAGCACAGGAGCCUGGAGGGCCAUUGAAGAGGAGAGGAGCCUGUACGCCCUGUUUCAAGAACCUGAGAGCUGGGCUCAGAAACGGGCAGCGGCUGGACCAAGGUCACACAGCAAGUUGGUUGCUCAGCCAGAGUCAGCACAGGGCGGGGUGAACUCCAAAGCCCCGGGGCCCCAGUGAGGGGGUAGCAUGAGCCAGGUGGAGACUGGGGCAAGGUAGAAACCUCCAGGGCUAGCCAGAGGGAGUGGCCACGAUGCAGCAUCACUGGACUGUAGCCAUAUGGGGGGCGGGCACAGGCCUGAGUAGUGAGGGGGAUCUUCCUGGCCUGCCUUAUACUCGUGUCCCCACAAAAUCCCCCUACAGCCCAGGAGUCACAGGUACCGCCUGGGGGGUCAGCACCGUCCAUGCACAGUGUGUGUGUUGUGCACUGUACAAAGGCACUCACUGAAGAGGCAGUGGGGGUGAUCCCAGGCCUUGCUUGACUACUCAUCCUGGAAGAACUGAUUUUCAUAAUGUAUCCACCCAAAGGGCUCUUUUUUCUUUUCUUUUCUCUUCCUUUCUUGCUCUCUUUCUUUCUAUAUGGCCUUGCUCUGUCACUCAGGCUGGAGUGCAGUGGUGCAAUCAUGGCUUGCUGCAGCCUCAACCUCCCAGGCUCAGGUGAUCCUCCUGCCUCAGCCUCCCGAGUAGCUGGGAUUACAGGUAUGUGCCACCACACCCAACUAGUUUUUAAAAUUUUUUGUAGAGAUGGGGUCUUGCUCUGUUGCCCAGGCUGGUCUUGAAGUCCUGGGCUCAAGAGUCCUGGACUCUUGGUGUUCCCAAAUGCUGGGAUUACAGGCCUGAGCCACCGCGCCCAGCCUGGGGCCUCUUUUUUCUAAUUCCCGCAUGGUGCUGGGUCAGUUUGCGACCCCUAAGAAGCAGAUGCCCAGGUGAGAUUAGAC